rnacentral:misc_RNA from 1 species
GCAGGAUCAUAAAUAAAAAAAGAUGGGAUUAUUAUAAUGAAAGUGUAUGCUGACAUUAUAAUAAUCUUGUCUAUGUUCUAAAUACAAAAUACCUUCACGAGGUUUAGAAUGAGUGAUAUAAGGAAGUUAUAUUAGCUAAAUUUAUGUAUGUUAUGAAUGGGUUGAUUGAUUAUAAAGGCGUGUGUGUAGUUAGGUGUAGAGAAUAAUUGAAAUAUAUUUAAGUAAGUAGAAUAGCUUGUAAUAUCAAGGAGUUUUACUUGUAACAACACACUUAUUUAUCCA